rnacentral:rRNA from 1 species
UACGUAGGGUGCGAGCGUUGUCCGGAUUUAUUGGGCGUAAAGAGCUCGUAGGCGGUCUGUCGCGUCGGAUGUGAAAACCCAGGGCUCAACCCUGGGCCUGCAUUCGAUACGGGCAGACUAGAGUACGGCAGGGGAGACUGGAAUUCCUGGUGUAGCGGUGAAAUGCGCAGAUAUCAGGAGGAACACCGGUGGCGAAGGCGGGUCCCUGGGCCGAAACUGACGCUGAGGAGCGAAAGCGUGGGGAGCGAACAGG